rnacentral:rRNA from 1 species
CCUACGGGAGGCAGCAGUGGGGAAUCUUGCACAAUGGGCGAAAGCCUGAUGCAGCAACGCCGCGUGGGGGAUGAAGCUUUUCGGAGUGUAAACCCCUUUCGACCCGGAAGCGGUACGGGUAUAAGAAGCCCCGGCUAACUACGUGCCAGCAGCCGCGGUAAUACGUAGGGGGCCAGCGUUGCUCGGAAUUACUGGGCGUAAAGGGUCUGUAGGCGGUGUAGCAAGUCGAGAGUGAAAUCCCUGGGCUUAACCCAGGGGCUGCUAACGAAACUGCUAUGCUAGAGUGUGAGAGAGGCAAGUGGAAUUACGGGUGUAGCGGUGAAAUGCGUAGAUAUCCGUAGGAACAUCCGAGGCGAAGGCGGCUUGCUGGUCCAACUGACGCUGAGAGACGAAAGCUAGGGGAGCAAACAGGAUUAGAUACCCUUGUAGUC